rnacentral:rRNA from 1 species
CGCGUAGGCGGCUUAGCAAGUCAGAUGUGAAAGCCCCGGGCUUAACUCGGGAAUUGCAUCUGAAACUGCUUUGCUUGAGUCCUGGAGGGGAUAGUGGAAUUCCCAGUGUAGCGGUGAAAUGCGUAGAUAUUGGGAGGAACACCUGCGGCGAAGGCGGCUAUCUGGACAGUGACUGACGCUGAGGCGCGAAAGCUAGGGGGAGCGAACG